GGACGAUCCCGAGCUACAGAGGCAAACACGUUUUAUCAUCACCUUUUUUACCCUAACACCUAAAUUACCAUACUGUGGAAACGAUUAGAAUUAAAUAAUCGUACGAAGGAAACCCUUUGCGAAAACCAUUUGCAAUUGAGCCUUACAACGUCUCCUGUCGGCGAUGAGUUAAAAACGCAAGCAUCCUGGCUUCGGCAUCGCCAUAAAUGCGACGGAAGAUUGAGAAAUCGUAACACGACGGCGCAGAUAACCGAAAGGAACGAAGAGGAAGAAUAGAGAGGGGCGCGGAUCCGAAUAGAGCCGAGCAGACUCGAGCAACGAGCUCGAGAGGCGAGAGGGAUUGAGGGUGGAGGUGGUAGCACUGCAGAAGGGGUAGCCUCUGCAGUGACGGAGGGUCGAGGGUGGGCAAUGACGUCACGCAAGAUGCAGCAGGGUGCAGCGAUGCAAGGGGAUGAAGCGAACUGGGCGGAACUGGGCCAGUGGGUCUCCGGCAGCCAUCUGCGAUUCGCUCAGCUACCUCGGUAUCCGCGACGCCUUGCAAUUUUCUGCAUUCUCGCGAAAAUCGUGUUUCACGCAGUAACCUGUGAAACGAGCCGUUGUGAACAGAAUCCAUCGCGUUUAUCGGAGAUUUCGUGAUAAUCGGCUAUCGUCGGUUUGGCUGAAGGAAAAAAUACGGUGCUGCAAUAAAAAGAGAAAAAUACACGGGUGUCCAGUUGGUAAAACUAUCGACGCGACGCCGUUACCAAUACCCACACGUUCGGGAUAAAAAUUCAGUUGAAAAAAAUAGAUAUGAUUAAUGUUUGUUAUGUAAACUGUGAUUUGAACUUCUGUCAGCAACAUCAAACAACUGCGCAUUAACCCCUCCCUUAUUGAGCGUUUCUACAGCUUCGUCGUCAUGCUUUUGUGUUUUUCCUAAAUCCCUUCCAAUCGUCGUUUCACUAUGCACGCCCAAUUUCUGUCCUUCCUUUAACGCAUUGCUAAGAGAUUCCCGUUCAUACCCGAACUUUGAUAAAGUUGUCCCAUUUCCUCUUAAUUUUGCAGCUAUGUAUACAUCCCACCUUUACUUUUGUGAUACAUUUUUUGCCGCCUGUUAAGCUAUCCAAUCGCAAUUCUUUUUUCCAUUCUUUAGGUAAAAUCUUUUUUAUUUGCUUCGUAGCCGUAAUCUACCAAUUACGUCGCGAUAUCUGCGAGAUCUAGCGAUUUGCGACUAAUGGAACGAUCAAAGUGAGUAAGUUCCAUGGAACCAGUGAUCCUUGGAUUAUCGGAAUUAUGGAGCUCAUCGUGAAGAAACGAGACAUCCGUUCUCAACGUGGCGCAAGAUAAGUUUCACGAAGCUUCGAGAAUCAUCAUUCCCCAACCAUUUUUCUCUCCGAUCGCAUCAUCGUAUCACUGCACCGUGCUAACCUAACAUCGAUAAACCAUCAGAGUUCGUUCGUUCGUUGUUUCGGCGUUUCCCGAACGAUCGGACCGUGAAAUCCUGAUGUUUUCCGCCGGAUCUUGCAAACAUCGAUGCACUUUUAACCUCUUCGUUUCCAAUCGAACGUGAAUCCCCUGAAUUUGCAUGUUUCGCGUCUGCCGAUCACGCGAGCCGACGUUCUCUAUGCUCUGUUCGAUUAAACGAAGGGAGAAAAGCGGAAAGAACGGACAGGGACACGUCUGUUGGCCAUUGUAACGGCAGUUAAUUUACACAAGCCGAUGUAUACUCUCUGAAACACGCUCGGCUGCACGCGGCCCUGCACUUUUCGGCGGUAGUCGCUAAAAUCAGUUAUAACGUAUAACCAAGAUAAUUAACAUCGCCAUGCUACCGAGUGAAUGUUAAUCAGAGAGACCGGAUCCUGGAGCCUCUCCUCCUUUUGUUUCCCGUGCGUGACGUCGAAUCGAGACCCUUUUCGUAUCUUUCUGGAGAAGGAAACCCAGUCGGCGCGAUAUCUAUUAUCUGAGAACGAAAAUUUGAUUGGUAGAUGGUCGUUAAUUUUAUUUACGCCGCUUUAAACGAUUUCCCGCCCGCCAUACUUUAUGGGGUUACUUGUGUAACUAAAAUUUGAUCACCUGUGCGAUUACUUUCUGAUCGACAUAGAACGAUAGAAAAAUAAUAUACUCGAAAGUUUGACAACAAAAUUUCACGCGAACGACAAUAUCGAUAUUUUUGAUCAGUUAAUCCAGACACUUUUGAAUUUUCUCUUUGUUUCUGGAUUGUACUACUUUUCAUUCGCAUUAUAAGUAUACCACUUCUAGUCUAUAAUUACAGUUACAAUUAGUUACAACUUAACAGCAAGUUACCGUUCACGUUGCUCACGCGUCGAGCAACUUUUCCGCUCGCGGAUCGCCGUUAGAUUCACGCGACGUGUAAAUCAUCCCGUCUAUUUCUAUGAUCGCUGACUCGAUUGACCUUUGUUCCCUCGACAUCGGUUAUUAAUGACGUGGUCGUGGAACGCGUAACGCGCCAUGUUCCAGUCUGGAAUUUCUUCGAUUCCGCGUAAGCGCUUGCUUACGUACAUUUCGAAAGGGGAACACACGGAGGGAUACCACACGCGUUACGCGAAUUCGUUCUUCUGCGCCACUUUUAGUCAGCUCGUGAAUCACGAUCACGCAGUGGCUCACGAAAGUAUUUAAACUCAUCCGUAAGAACUGAAAAAUAUAAAUAAACACGUUGCGCGUGUGCUGGUUUGAGAUUUCUUCGAUAUAAUCGUGUCGCUCGUUCUGAUUAUAAUUUCAAUGAAAUUUUGGAAUAUUUUAAGUAUUCAAAUAUAUACGUAUUUUCACGAGACAGUGUACUCUCUGGGGAGAAAAAAGGAACGGAAGACUUAACUAUCUCUCUUUCGUUGCUGUUUCACACGGACACACCCAUUCCGGAUUUAGAGUCAUUUUAGUCAUUCAGUAUGCGAGAGUGAUUCACAGGCGCCAGUUUCUUUUCUUCUUCUAAAUUCGUUUUCCGAGUAUCGUUGCAACAUUUGUCACGGUGUUUCGCGUGUCUACGCGAUGUUACAUAGCUGUAUGUAAAUGUAGGUUUCAAUUUGAGAAUCUUACACGAUAGUUACCGUGGGGAAUAUUCUCGAAUUGUAUAUUUAUUUGACAGUAGCUUCGAGAAUUUCUUACUCUCGGACAUAAUAUUCGUAUCUGUAUAAUUAUUCUGCCUCGUUAUUCUUCCUAGUGGCUUACUAAAGGAUACUAAGAUUCGAGUCAUAGUAAUAAAUAUAAAUACAAUAGGAAACUUACUAUCGUUCCAUGAAAGGAAAAUAGCAAAUACGACACGUCAUUGUUAGUACUAUGCGAAACAAUCGACGAUUCUCGUAACUCAUCUGCGAGCACUAAUCUAAUUUCUCCUUGUAUUGCCUACUCGAGUUUAUCGUCGAUACGUCGAAUACUUAAAGCAUUUAUAAACGAAUACACGAAAAAAAUGUACAUGAAUACGUUGAUAUCGGCGCAAAGAAAACAAACGUUGUCACCCCUUUGACGAUCACCGAUCAAAAUGACGAAUGUUCCAGAAGCUCGUUUAUUUUCUUCGCCGCGGCGCCUUCGACUCGUCGUUUUAUCAGAACGAAUUUGUUUUCUACUCGAAGAUAAGCAAAUUAGUAACUGGAGGACUUUCUAUUUAUAGGCGAAAAGAAUGUUACUAGAGAAACCGUAUCACACGUUAGUAACGUAAGAAGAGCAAAAAAAAAAAAAAAGAAUUGAAAA